rnacentral:rRNA from 1 species
UGUAAGCGUAUACCAAAGUUGUUGCAGUUAAAACGCUCGUAGUCGGAAUUUGGCAGUUCCGGAUGUGUGCACGUCGUGUGCGCACUUCGCGGGGAUUGCUUUUGUGGUCUUGCGUAGGAUGAGGCACUUUUAUUAGUGAACGUCCUCACGCAACCACUUUUUACUGUGAGAAAAUCAGAGUGCUCAAAGCAGGCAUUUGCCGUGAAUGUAUUAGCAUGGAAUAAUAGAAUAGGACUUGGUUCUAUUUUGUUGGUUUGUUGGGACUGAGUAAUGAUUAAGAGGGACAGUUGGGGGCAUUUGUAUUUCGGUGCUAGAGGUGAAAUUCUUAGAUUACCGAAAGACAAACUGCUGCGAAUGCGUCUGCCAAGGAUGUUUUCAUUGA